rnacentral:misc_RNA from 1 species
UUUUGUUUUGGUGCUUUGGCUAAUUGCUUUUGCUUUUAAAAUGCUUUGAGAGAAGUGAUUUCUUUUAUUUUUCUUGAACAACAAAACGUGAGAGAGAGAUAAAGGAAAUCACUUUUUUCAAGGCAAAGGGCAAGAGCAAUUCAAAGCCUCCACCUUUGAACAAAAACAUCCACUUCUCAUCAUUUUCUCAUCUCCCGUUCUUUUGUUUUCCAUAAGGUUUUUGUUUCUUUUUCUGCUUCUGCUUCUGCUUCUUCUUUUUCUUUGUGGGAAAUUAUGGCUGAUAUUUUGAGCAAUACCAACCUAGUUUCUUCUUCUUAUUAUUCUUCUUCUCCAUCCUUUAAUGCUUACCAAAACCACCAUAAAUAUAGUUCUUGCAGGCUCAGUGGGUUCCCUCGGAAAUUGAAUCCUCAAGCUUUGAGAUUGCAAACGAGA